GUUGUAGCCGUCGCCUUCUUCCUCCCCACAGUCAAACAGCGCGGUGACUAGGCCGUCGGCCCUCGAGCCGAGACAUAUCUCUUGUUUAGUGCUCGGGAGCGCCUGGCCAACAUGAGUGAUGUAGAGGAGAACAACUUCGAGGGCAGACUUCCCAUCUCUGCUCCGAGGUGCGGGUCCCCUGCGCGGUGGGGCAGGAGGCGGCGGGGCGCUCCCUCCGGCCGGAUAGUGGAGUCUCGCUCUCAGUCAAAAUCUCCAACGGGAACUCCUGCUCGUGUAAAAUCAGAGAGCAGGUCAGGAUCUCGUAGUCCAUCAAGGGUUUCCAAACAUU
rnacentral:lncRNA from 1 species